rnacentral:rRNA from 1 species
UACGUAGGGACCGAGCGUUGUCCGGAAUCAUUGGGCGUAAAGAGCGUGUAGGCGGCCACUUAAGUCCUGCGUGAAAUCUUGCGGCUCAACCGCAAGCGGUCGUGGGAAACUGGGUGGCUAGAGUGCGGGAGAGGAGAGUGGAAUUCCUGGUGUAGCGGUGGAAUGCGCAGAUAUCAGGAGGAACACCGAUGGCGAAGGCAGGUCUCUGGGCUGUAACUGACGCUGAGGAGCGAAAGCAUGGGGAGCGAACAGG